AACGAACGCUGGCGGCAUGCCUAACACAUGCAAGUCGAACGAGACCUUCGGGUCUAGUGGCGCACGGGUGCGUACGCGGGGGAACCUGCCCCUAGGGUCGGAAUAACCUCCCGAAAGGGGUGCUAAUAACGGGUAAUGUCCUCGGACCAAAGAUUUAUCGCCUUUGGAUGGGCCCGCGUUGGAUUAGCUAGUUGGUAGGGUAAAAGCCUACCAAGGCGACGAUCCAUAGCUGGUCUGAGAGGAUGAUCAGCCACACUGGGACUGAGACACGGCCCAGACUCCUACGGGAGGCAGCAGUGGGGAAUAUUGGACAAUGGGCGAAAGCCUGAUCCAGCAAUGCCGCGUGAGUGAUGAAGGCCUUAGGGUUGUAAAGCUCUUUUACCCGGGAUGAUAAUGACAGUACCGGGAGAAUAAGCUCCGGCUAACUCCGUG
rnacentral:rRNA from 1 species